UACGUAGGGGGCAAGCGUUAUCCGGAUUUACUGGGUGUAAAGGGAGCGUAGACGGCUUUGCAAGUCUGAUGUGAAACCCCGGGGCUCAACCCCGGGCGUGCAUUGGAAACUGUGGAGCUUGAGUGCCGGAGAGGUAAGCGGAAUUCCUAGUGUAGCGGUGAAAUGCGUAGAUAUUAGGAGGAACACCAGUGGCGAAGGCGGCUUACUGGACGGUAACUGACGUUGAGGCUCGAAAGCGUGGGGAGCAAACAGG
rnacentral:rRNA from 1 species